GGGCUUUGACCCAACCUUAGAUAUUUUAAACACAAAAAUAUCCGCCAGAAUACUACGAGCAAAAUGCUUAAAACUCUAAGGACUUGGCGGUACCUCACACCCACCUAGAGGAGCCUGUUCUAUAAUCGAUACUCCACGCUAAACCUCACCACUCCUUGCCACCCAGCUUAUAUACCACCGUCUUAGCUUACCCCAUGAGGGGUAAAAAGUUAGCACAACAGUUUAAACAACUAAUAAAUCAGGUCAAGGUGUAGCCAAUGGAGUGGAAGAAAUGGGCUACAUUUUCUAUAAUAGAUAUUACCACGGAAUUGCGCCAUGAAAUACGGCCAAAACAAGCAGGAUUUAGAAGUAAAUUGAGAACAGAGAGCCUAAUUAAAACCGGACCUGAGGUGCG
rnacentral:rRNA from 1 species